rnacentral:rRNA from 1 species
AUGAUCUUCGUAUUUAUAAUGCACCUCUCAAUCACGCCGCUCGUCGUGCCUCAAAGCACUCUUCAGAGUCUGAACAAGAUUGAACGGGCUUUCCUCUGGUUAGGUGCUGACAAGACUACGGGUGCCAAGUGCAAAGUGAAGUGGGACACGGUUUGUAGGCCGAAGGAGUAUGGUGGCCUUGGGGUGCUUAACUCUGAAAAAUUUGCGCGUGCCCUUCGCCUUAGGUGGCCUUGGUACGAAUGGAAGGAGCCCCACAGAUUGUGGGUUGGUUUUGGCAACCCUUGUACGGAGGACGAUCUCAGCUUCUUUUAUGCCUCCACCACCAUUACUCUGGGCAACGGAGCCAAAACGCCUUUCUGGGAUUCUCCUUGGCUCCUUGGCCGUAAGCCCAAGGAGAUCACCCUGCACAUCUAUGAGGCCUCCAGGAGGAAGAAUUGGAAGUUCAGGGAGGCUGUUAGAGAGGACGCUUGGAUCUUCAAAAUCAGCUACAACAACGUCGUUACCGGAGACCACAUUCGAGAGUUUUUCACUCUUUGGAUUCUUUUGGAUGACGUCCAUCUUGAGGAGCAUCGGGAGGACGACAUCACCUGGAAGCAUUCCAAUGAUGGGAUGUACUCGGCAGCCAGUGCUUAUAAAGCGCAGUUUCUUGGCUUAACCUUGUCCCCAAUGGAUCGCAUGGUUUGGAAAGUUUGGGCUCCUCCGAAGAUCAAAUUCUUUGCUUGGUUGGCUAUUCAAGAUAGGAUCUGGACUGCGGACCGCCUGGAGAGGCGCGGGUGGGCCAACUGCGGUCUGUGCCCUCUUUGCUCUAGGGAGCAGGAAACGGGUGCUCAUCUUCUCUUCAAGUGUCGCUUCACUAUUCGGCUUUGGAGGUCUCUCGCGGCCAAGCUUGGCCUUCAUCACAUUGACACCUCCGGAUGGCAUCUUCAUGACUCCGUCCUGGAUUGGUGGGAAGAUGGUACUGGGAGACACGUCCCCAACAGGAGUGCCUUGGCCUCCCUCACCCUCCUCGUCUCCUGGACCAUUUGGAAUGAACGUAAUGCUAGGGUGUUCCGACACAAAGGUGCUCCGCCGCCUAUUCUUCUUAACACAAUCCUUGAGGAGGCCAAGCUUUGGGUUACAGCUGGUGCAAAGAAACUAGGGCCUAUUGUAUUUCGUGAGUAG